UGCAGCCAGUUCAUGUGUCAACAAGCGCAAAUUGUGAAAGAUGGCUUGGAAAAAUUCAGUUCAGAGUUCAAAGCGCCACCUUGCAACAAACAGCGCCAUGGAAACAGCUGUGGAGUGUUUGCAUUGAUGACUGCCAAAUGUUUGGUCGUGAAAAAGCAUCCCACAAUGUUGCGACAGGCCCAUGAUUCAGUUUAUCGAGACUAGUCGUGAGACGCAGACUUCUGAUUCAUGGAGUGCGGAAAACAUAUCUGUGCGACUCAAUCACUCCACUGUAAAGACCUGCACGGCAUUAAAAUGGAUAUUAUCAAUAUGUGUUGUUGCUCGAAAAUAUAUUUUUGUAGCAGGAA